AAAUUGAAGAGUUUGAUCAUGGCUCAGAUUGAACGCUGGCGGCAGGCCUAACACAUGCAAGUCGAGCGGUAGCACAGAGAGCUUGCUCUCGGGUGACGAGCGGCGGACGGGUGAGUAAUGUCUGGGAAACUGCCUGAUGGAGGGGGAUAACUACUGGAAACGGUAGCUAAUACCGCAUAACGUCGCAAGACCAAAGUGGGGGACCUUCGGGCCUCAUGCCAUCAGAUGUGCCCAGAUGGGAUUAGCUAGUAGGUGGGGUAACGGCUCACCUAGGCGACGAUCCCUAGCUGGUCUGAGAGGAUGACCAGCCACACUGGAACUGAGACACGGUCCAGACUCCUACGGGAGGCAGCAGUGGGGAAUAUUGCACAAUGGGCGCAAGCCUGAUGCAGCCAUGCCGCGUGUGUGAAGAAGGCCUUCGGGUUGUAAAGCACUUUCAGCGGGGAGGAAGGCGGUGAGGUUAAUAACCUCAUCGAUUGACGUUACCCGCAGAAGAAGCACCGGCUAACUCCGUGCCAGCAGCCGCGGUAAUACGGAGGGUGCAAGCGUUAAUCGGAAUUACUGGGCGUAAAGCGCACGCAGGCGGUCUGUCAAGUCGGAUGUGAAAUCCCCGGGCU
rnacentral:rRNA from 1 species